CGGGUGAGUAACACGUAUCCAACCUGCCGUCUACUCUUGGACUGCCUUCUGAAAGGAAGAUUAAUACAAGAUGGCAUCAUGAGUUCACAUGCUCACAUGAUUAAAGGUAUUCCGGUAGACGAUGGGGAUGCGUUCCAUUAGAUAGUAGGCGGGGUAACGGCCCACCUAGUCUUCGAUGGAUAGGGGUUCUGAGAGGAAGGUCCCCCACAUUGGAACUGAGACACGGUCCAA
rnacentral:rRNA from 1 species